GGUAACAGCAUUCUCAGGGCCUUCUGCCAAGGGCCCGCUUUGAUCUCCCUUAAAGGACAGCAUUAUCUGACCAGAGGUAAAUUGUAACCACUGAAAGUCCGCUGUUUCGAUUCUGGGCAAGAUGCUAUGGCAGAACAGGGACCAUGAUGAACUACUUAGAAAAAUACAUAAGGCCAUACCCAUGCAGGAGACCUCUCCAGGUACACAUAUUUCCUGCUACUGAAUGGCUUAGACUGGGAUUUGCAAGGAACUACGAAGUCCAAGACCUUUGCCUUUCUUUUAGAAGAAGGCACCAGCUGGUUCUCCAAUGUUGAAGGUCUUCUCCAGAGAUGUACUCAAAAUUGGAUGGAUGGAUCUAUAUAUUCCUGGGCCACAGGGGCAUGCAGAAGGAGUGAAAAAACAAGAAGGAAGACAAGGAAGACAUUGUUUUGGCUGCUGACAUUUCCUGAAAGAUCUGAGGCGUCCCCUUCACUUCGGGCAUGGGACCCAGACGGCUGAGUGAUGGACCUUAAGGUGUGGGGAGAUUACAACUUGCUCAAGGUCUCAUAGCUAGAAGAUGUCAGAGUGAUAACUCAAACCAUGUCACAUGACUCUAAGCCCAAAGCAGCCUCUAGAAGGUUGUUUGAUCUUCUGAUGGAAGCACAAAUCACCAUUCCAACAUGAAAGAUGGAGAAACUUAAGUCUAGAGAGAUUUAAAGGACUUGUCAAAGGCAAUGAAACAAGUGAUGAGGAAACUGAGGCCCAGAGAGGAUAAAUGACUUGCUCAAGGUUAGCCAGUUGGUCAAUGGCAAAGAUUAAACCAGAACCCAGAUCUCCUCUCUCCAGCCAGAGUCUUCAAGCAAAGUCCCUAGGAGGAACUCUGAAAGCCACAUGUUGAGAUGGCCCCAUUACAGGAUGGAGAGCACCUGAACCCCCAAGUUAUGGACUAGAAGAAGACAGUUGCCCUGGAAAAUCAUCUGACCCACAUUGGACUUUAUGUGAGGGGGAAAUAAACCUUUAUUAUGUUAAGCUACACAAUAAUAAAUAACAACAAUAAUUGUGUUUA
rnacentral:lncRNA from 1 species